UGAUGAUAGUGAGGGCAAUUUAUGAGCAUAUCCUUAAAUCUCUCCCAAGCUUGGAAGAGAUUCUCUCCCUCUUUUUGUCUGAAACUCAAGAUCUCACUCCUCAAGCG
rfam:Capsicum annuum cultivar Zunla-1 chromosome 5, whole genome shotgun sequence